rnacentral:misc_RNA from 1 species
UUAAAGAUUUACUUUAUCUUGUCUGACUGCUGUUUACAGAAGAGUUUGUGUUGGGGCUCCGGACGGGCUGACAGCAUGAGCAUGCCGCCGAAGCAACAGGUAGUUUCACAAUGGUUGUAGACGUAUCAACCUUUCCCUCGCCUUGCGGCGAGAGUCGGUCAAAACGUUGUUUUUUUUUAAUGAUCCUUCCGCAGGUUCACCUACGGAAA